rnacentral:rRNA from 1 species
AGAGUUUGAUCAUGGCUCAGAUUGAACGCUGGCGGCAGGCCUAACACAUGCAAGUCGAACGGUAGCACAGAGAGCUUGCUCUCGGGUGACGAGUGGCGGACGGGUGAGUAAUGUCUGGGAAACUGCCUGAUGGAGGGGGAUAACUACUGGAAACGGUAGCUAAUACCGCAUAACGUCUUCGGACCAAAGUGGGGGACCUUCGGGCCUCACACCAUCGGAUGUGCCCAGAUGGGAUUAGCUAGUAGGUGGGGUAAUGGCUCACCUAGGCGACGAUCCCUAGCUGGUCUGAGAGGAUGACCAGCCACACUGGAACUGAGACACGGUCCAGACUCCUACGGGAGGCAGCAGUGGGGAAUAUUGCACAAUGGGCGCAAGCCUGAUGCAGCCAUGCC